AGAACGCAGCAGGGACUGCCUCAGUAUCGGAGAGUGAAGCGGCAAUAGCUCAAAUUGAAAUUUGUCUCUUUCAGGGUCCGAGUUGUAAUUGGUAGAAGAUGUUUCGGGUGUGGUCACAGUAUAAGUUCCCUGGAACCAGGACAUCACAGAGGGUGAGAAUCCCGUAUGUGACUGGGUACUUACGGCCAUGUGAAACUCUUUCGACGAGUUGAGUUGGUUGGGAAUGCAGCUCAUAAUGGGUGGUAAAUUUCAUCUAAAGAUAAAUAUCGGCCAGAGACCGAUAGCGCACAAGUAGAGUGAUGGAAAGAUGAAAAGCACUUUGGAAAGAGAGUUAAACAGUACGUGAAAUUGUCGAAAGGGAAGGGCAGGCACUCAGACUUGCGCCUAGUUGAUCAUCUCGGCUUGUUCCCCGUCCACUCGGUUAGGCUCAGGCCAGCAUCGGUUUAGAGGGUUGGAUAAAGGCCUUGGGAAUGUGGCCCCUCUCGGGGGGUGUUAUAGCCCAAGGUGCAAUGCAGCCACUCGGGACUGAGGACCGCGCUUCGGCUAGGAUGCUGGCGUAAAGGUUGUAUGCCGCCCGUCUUGAAACACGCACCAAGGAGUCUAACAUCUAUGCGAGUGUUUGGGUGUCAAACCCAUGCGCGUAAUGAAAGUGAACGGAGGUGAGAGCCCUUAAGGGUGCAUCAUCGACCGAUCCUGAUGUUUUCGGAUGGAUUUGAGUAAGAGCAUAUCUGUUGGGACCCGAAAGAUGGUGAACUAUGCCUGAAUAGGGUGAAGCCAGAGGAAACUCUGGUGGAGGCUCGCAGCGGUUCUGACGUGCAAAUCGAUCGUCAAAUUGGGUAUAGGGGCGAAAGACUAAUCGAACCCUUUU
rnacentral:rRNA from 1 species